rnacentral:rRNA from 1 species
GAUGAACGCUGGCGGCGUGCCUAAUACAUGCAAGUCGAGCGAACAGAUGAGGAGCUUGCUCCUCUGACGUUAGCGGCGGACGGGUGAGUAACACGUGGAUAACCUACCUAUAAGACUGGGAUAACUUCGGGAAACCGGAGCUAAUACCGGAUAAUAUAUUGAACCGCAUGGUUCAAUAGUGAAAGACGGUUUUGCUGUCACUUAUAGAUGGAUCCGCGCCGCAUUAGCUAGUUGGUAAGGUAACGGCUUACCAAGGCAACGAUGCGUAGCCGACCUGAGAGGGUGAUCGGGCACACUGGAACUGAGACACGGUCCAGACUCCUACGGGAGGCAGCAGUAGGGAAUCUUCCGCAAUGGGCGAAAGCCUGACGGAGCAACGCCGCGUGAGUGAUGAAGGUCUUCGGAUCGUAAAACUCUGUUAUUAGGGAAGAACAAAUGAGUAAGUAACUAUGCACGUCUUGACGGUACCUAAUCAGAAAGCCACGGCUAACUACGUG